rfam:Ixodes scapularis strain Wikel colony gcontig_1107728937006, whole genome shotgun sequence.
CCCUGGUUAGCUCAGUUGGUAGAGCGCUCCACUUGUAAUGGAGAGGUCCCGGGUUCGAUACCCGAACCAGGCG